CCUACGGGUGGCAGCAGUGGGGAAUAUUGCACAAUGGGGGAAACCCUGAUGCAGCGACGCCGCGUGAAGGACGAAGUAUUUCGGUACGUAAACUUCUUUCAGCAGGGAAGAAAAUGACGGUACCUGUACAAGAAGCCCCGGCUAACUCCGUGCCAGCAGCCGCGGUCAUACGUAGGGGGCAAGCGUUAUCCGGCAUUACUGGGUGUAAAGGGAGCGUAGAUGGCAAUGCAAGUCUGAUGUGAAAACGCGGGGCUCAACCCCGGGACUGCAUUGGAAACUGGGCGGCUGGAGUGUCGGAGAGGCAAGUGGAAUGCGUAGUGUAGCGGUGAAAUGCGUAGAUAUUAGGAGGAACACCAGUGGCGAAGGCGGCUUGCUGGACGACGACUGACGUUGAGGCUCGAAAGCGUGGGGAGCAAACAGGAUUAGAUACCCGGGUAGUC
rnacentral:rRNA from 1 species